UACGUAGGGUGCAAGCGUUAUCCGGAAUUAUUGGGCGUAAAGAGCUCGUAGGCGGUUUGUCGCGUCUGCUGUGAAAACUGGAGGCUCAACCUCCAGCCUGCAGUGGGUACGGGCAAACUAGAGUGCGGUAGGGGAGAUUGGAAUUCCUGGUGUAGCGGUGGAAUGCGCAGAUAGCAGGAGGAACACCGAUGGCGAAGGCAGAUCUCUGGGCCGUAACUGACGCUGAGGAGCGAAAGCUAGGGGAGCAAACGGG
rnacentral:rRNA from 1 species